AACGUAGGUACCGAGCGUUAUCCGGAUUUAUUGGGUGUAAAGGGCGCGUAGGCGGCUCGCUAAGUCGGAUGUGAAAACUCUGGGCUCAACCCAGAGCCUGCAUUCGAAACUGACGAGCUCGAGUACUCGAGGGGAAAGCGGAAUUCCUGGUGUAGCGGUGAAAUGCGUAGAUAUCAGGAGGAACACCGGUGGCGAAGGCGGCUUUCUGGACAGUAACUGACGCUGAUGCGCGAAAGCUAGGGGAGCAAACAGG
rnacentral:rRNA from 1 species